GAUGAAGAACGCAGCGAAAUGCGAUAAGUAAUGUGAAUUGCAGAAUUCAGUGAAUCAUCGAAUCUUUGAACGCACCUUGCGCUCCUUGGUAUUCCGAGGAGCAUGCCUGUUUGAGUGUCAUUAAAUUAUCAACCUCACCAGUUUUGUUAUGAGACUGUGUA
rnacentral:rRNA from 3 species